AUAAAGUCUUUAAAAAUAUGAUUAAGGUAAAAUGAGAUCGCAUAGCUGGACCUUAAUCCAAUAUGACUAGUGUCCUUAUAAAAAGAGGAGAUUAGGACACAGACACACAGAGGGAAG